rnacentral:lncRNA from 1 species
GAAAAUCACAUUGAUGGGAUAUGGAUGUGGAUUGGUUAUUGGGUUGUCUCUUGGGUGUCUUGUUUUCUUAACUGGGAAACCUGAAUGGUUGACAAGGAUGGUAGAAGAGAACAUUCACAAGACGAUCACAAGGUCUAAAAGAAGUACUCGCAGGAAAGGAGCAAGAAGAAAGUAGCAUAUUCCAACCGCAUUGUAUUUUGUGCUACAUAUUACAAAUGGAUUUUACAUUUGUUAGCAAAUAAUCUACUUGUUAUUAUAAAAGUGUAAUAUUGUUUGUAAAAUUAAAAUAAUGUUUUUUUUCCCUUUUUUUCUUUUUUGCAAUAGUCAUUGGGUUCAAUAUUUUUCCAAUCAACAUGAUAACUUAAAAUUCAUCAAAGAGCAAUUUUUAUAUCUUAGAGAUUAAUCAAACACUAACGGAUAUUAAAGACUUAGUAGGAAUUUGGACAUACUUCUAAUUUUUAUUCUUUUUAAAAAAGAAAACUUUUAUACAAGUAGAGACUUACAUUAUGUUUUCAUAACUACUUUUUAAUUUAUUUUUAUUUUUUAAAUUUAAGAACACAAUGUUUUUAAAAUUUUAAAAAAUCUUUUAGAAAAUAUAAGAUAAAUCUCCUCUCUUGCUAAAAAAAAUGACUAGAUUUUAUAGAAGAGUUUAAAAACAAAAGACAAAAGACAAAAAGUGUUUCCAAACACCACUUUUUUUUUUCCCGAUAAUUCAUACUUUAUUAUUAUAUAGGGAAAGAUCAAUAAUAUGUUUAUAUUAAAUAUAUAUGGGUAUAUUAUAACAACUAGUAUUUUAUUUGAUUAAAACAUGUGUAGGAGCCACGACCGGGCCAAGUUCAAACCACGACAAGGCAUAACCAUUGCAACCAAAGCUCAAUUGGUAUUUCAUUUUUCAAAUAUAUGUUUUUCAGAAAUGUCAACUUGCUAUCUUUUCAUUUGAAAGAAUAUCAUUGUUAGUGAUCUAUGUUAAAUAUUUAAAUCAAUUCUAUAAUUGCUAUAGAUAUUUGAAGAAAAAAAACAUAAAUAAAUUAUAUAAUUUAACAUUUUUCAAUCAAUCUGACUUUAAUAAAUAAGGUUGAAGAUAAUAUUCAUUCAUUUUAUAUUUAUCUCUUACCAUUUUAAAAUAUUAAUAUUUAUUUUAAAAAUGUUAGUAUGCAUUAUAAUUUUUUAAAACAGUAUUAUUGAUUUUAAUAAAAAAAAUCUAAAUUCUAAUAUUCAUUUUUAAAAGUUGGUGAUUUCGGAAAUUUGUUUGUAAUAUUCAUGAAUUUAUACUCCUAUCUUUUUCUCAAAAUAAAUAACUAAAUAUUAUUAAUUUAUUAUGAAUAGUGUGAUUUUUAAAAUAUAAUAUUUGAUUAUUUAAUAAAAAUGUUGUUAUUUACCAUAACUUUUUAUUAAAAAAAUUAUUAUUUAUUAUUAAUUUGAAGAAAUAAAAUUUUAAUAUUUAUUUUAAUAAAAAAACCCAAUGAUAUUUUGUGGCCUUAUAAUAAUAAAGUUUAUUUUUAUUUUCACUUUCUAUUUAAAUAAUUAUUUAAAAAAUCUGAAACUAAAAUCAUAAAUAAAAUAAAAAAAUUGAAUCCAUUUUCAUUCACAUUUUUAUUUUAAUAUGUAUAGAAAUUUAAUCUAAUAAAAUUAAUUUUCAACAUUUAUUUUUAUUAUAUGAAAAGUCAAGUGAUCACCAUAUCUCUUUUAUUUAUUAUUAAACUCAGCUUCAAUUGUAAAUUUUAAAAAACAACCAAAUGUAUACAAUCUUGAGUAGGUCCACACUACUGCCACAUGCUUUAUUUUCAUUUUUUUAAAAAAUUUAUUUACUUCCACUAUUUUUUUUUAAUAAAUAAAUAAAUAUUAAUAUUUCUUAUUUGUGUGUUGGUUGUGAUUAAAUCUAUAGGUAGUUCGCAUUUUCUAAUUUUGAUUAGAUUUAUAAGACGAAAACAAACGCAUUUGGAUUGAGCAAGUUUGAGGAGAUAGGUGGAUUUGGGCCUAGAACAUGAUUCGAAGCUCAGUCCAGCCCAAACUGCACAUGUCUUAUUGGGUCUCAAUUUGGGCCUAUUGAGUUGACCUGGGCCAACCCGAUUCAAUUCAUAGUUGUAAUUGGCAUUAAACAAGGUUUAAUUUAUAAUUAAAUAUAAUAAAUAUAAGAGAAAAAAAUUUAAAAAAAUUAUUUUUUCAUGUUUGUUUAUUAUAAAAAAUAUAUAAGAGAAAAUAAAUAUAAUUAAAAUUAAUUAUAGAUUUAUUUAUUUUUAAAUCAUUUAAUCUUUAUAUAGAAGGAAAAAAAAAGUGAAAUGAGUUUAAAAAAGAAUAUAAAAAUAAUUUAUCAUAUUUAAAACUAUUUUUAAAAUUUUCUAUCAUUUUUUUUUUUUUUUAUCUCUUUUCAUUUUCUUACCUUGAUAUUUUUUCAAGAUAUUUCCUUUAUCAUUUUUCAUUAUUGACGGCAAAUCAAUGGUUGAUGCUUCAACACGGUUUUGUGGAAAGAUGAUCAAGAAGAAGACAUGGCAAAUCUGAAAAAGAUACUCCACUUCUUUCAAAUGACAAUUUUGUUUUUUUAUUCCUUUUUUAUUUAUCAUACUUUCUUUACUAAUAUAUCACUUUUCAAAGAAAAUAGUUAAUUUACACUAAUUACUUUUUAACUAUAUCCUCUUAUCAAUAAAGUGACAACAAUCUAUAUAAUUGUUUCUAGAUUUAGAACCUGUUUGAUAGUUAUUUUAAGAAUCUCUUUUAAUAUUUUUAUUAGUUAAAAAUUUUUAUCAUUCAAAUAUUAAAAAUGUUAAAAAAACUUUCUAAAAUAACUUCAAAAUGGGUUCUUAUUGGUCACAUUAUUUAUUUGACUAGAGGCCACAAGUACAAUAGUGUAAACUAACAAUGUCAUUAAUUAGGAUAUUUUGGAAUAACUAAAAUCCUUAAUCUAAUUUUUCAUGGAUUUUUUAUGGCCUUAAGAGGGAAUUGAUUGGUUAAGGAUUCAUAAGUUUACUAUUAAUGUAAUUUAGUAGCUAAUCACUAUCUUUAAGUUAAUAUAUAUAAAUUUUCUUUUAAAUUAAUUAUUUAGAAGACUCAAUUGAUAAUUUUGGAGGAUGAUUUAUUUAUUUAUUACAAAAGAUGCUUUAGAAAAAAAAUAUCUUUAUCGUGUUGCAAACUCUUAGAUAGUAUUGUCAUUUUAUUGAUUUAUAGAAGUCAAAGUCAAGAAACAUGUUUCAUCAAGUAAUUUAUUUUGUUUGUUUAAGAAGUUUCAAAGAAUCAAAGAAAAGAAAAAAAAAAAGUCAAAAAGCAAUGGUUGAAAAAUGAGAGAAGGGAAGUUUCUAUGAAUUUAUGAUUUAUAGAAAAGAAGGUCCCCACACGGUUUUAUUUAUGGUGGGUGCUAGUGCUAAUAAUAUUAUGAUUUUAAAUAGAAAAGAAAUAAAUUUAUGAUUAAUAAGUUUGUUCACACAUUUUUUAAAAUUUAUUUUUCUUCUUUUUUAUGUUUCACAAAAAAUAAAUUUUUUGAAAAGAUAUAAAUAUUUUAAUAAUUUGAAUUAUUAUUUUUCUUUGCAAUUUUAAAUUAUAUCAAAUAAUUAAUAUUAAAUUUCUUUUUAUUUUAAUUUUAAUCUUUUUAAUAUUUUCUUUGAUCCGAAGGCGUAAUUUCAUUUUCAAACUUUUUACGCAAAUAAUAUUACCAAAAAUCUUGUGAUAUUCUACAAUUAGUAAUACUAACUUACAAGGCAUAAAUUAUUAUUUUUUACUAAAUAAUUAUUACAAAAAGAGAAAAAUAAAAUUUAAAAUAUUUUAUUUUACAAUAAAGGCGAAUAAAAGAAAAUGGUAACCAUAUCAAUAUUUCAUGUUUCAUGUGUUUAUAUGGAUAGGUAAAAUAAAAUAAAAUAAAAUAAAUAUAAUUUCCUGCCCAUUUCCUUGCUUUUUCAUCUACUAUUGGUGGUCAAAGUUAUAAAUAUUUGUAUUUAUUUUUAUAAUUUUUAGAUAACAAGAGAAAAGAAGAAUAUAAAAAUAAUUUAUCACCUUUAAAUUUAUUUUCUUAUUUUAAUUUUAUGUCAUUUCUUAUUUUCUUUUAUUUUUCUUAGUAUUUUCUUUAAUACUUUUUAUAAACCAAACACAAACCUAAAAAAUAUUUUUAAAAUUUUUUAUUUUUUUAUUUAAACCAAAAAAUAAAAAUAUGUUUUUUAUUUCUCUUUUAUAAUAAAUAAAAUGAUUAGAAAAUCAAGCGCAUUGGUUUGAGUUUCCCCUUUCAUUUAUUUGAUCAAUAAAAUUCUACUUUAACUUUGCAAAUCCAGCCAUGACCAGUCAUAGAAGUCAAGCUCUUUGGGUCCUAGUAAUUGGCAUGCGGGAAAGAAAUUUCAACUGUGCCCAUCUCAUGCUCCUCUAUUCUAUUUUCUCCCAAGUUAUUAAUUUCCUCAUCUUUCUCUAAUUCCGCGAAAGGGUGCCUCAUUACCGAAGACUUGACUUCUUGUGGGCCAGCUUAAGAAAUCAUUUUUCAUUAGUGACCCUAAGUCAAUGGUUCAGGCUUUCUCAUGAUGAAACAUGUCUCAUCAUGUAAUUUAUUUUGAACCACAUUUUACAUAAUCAAUUUAAAAAAUUAGUAUAAUUACUUUAAUCCAUUCAUGACUUAAUUAAGGGGUUUUAGGAAUAAUAUCAGUACGUAGCUUUAAUUUGUUAAUUCUUGGAAUGUGGAAUUUUACCUUUUAUAAUAAUUUUGUUUAUGAAAUUUAUUUAUUAAUUUUUAAAAAGACUAAUAAGAAAUCUUUCUUUUUGCUUUCUUUGUUAUGAAGGCCAGUGUGCCCUGAAACCAAGUGCUCUGGUUUCAUUUCUCUUAUUUAUAAAAUUUCAUUUUUGUACUUCAAAUCUACAGGAUGUAUUUUGAUUUUAUUUUAUAGUCCCAAUCUAUACCAGUGCUGAUAAAAUAUAAUAAUUAAAACUCUAAUGAGCUGGAAACUGUAACAACAAAGGUCUUCUUUUGAUUGUUCCUGUUUAAGCUGGAAAUUUCCGAGAAGACAUUUGUUUAAGAUUUGUUAAAGUUAUUUUAAGUAGAUUAAGGAAAGUCAAUAAACUCAACUUAAAUUCAUAUUCAAUACCUAAUUUAUUUCAUUUAAUUGUGUUACUUUACUUUCAACAACACUUUACUUCCAACAAAAAGUAAAAAUACACAAAAUAAAAGUAAAAGUACUUUACUUUCAACAAAAAGAAUAAUGUUGUUACUAAAAUUUAUUUCAUUUCAUUUUGUUAAUGAGAUUAGGUCAUGAAAAUGUCGAAAAAUAAAAUAAAAUAAAAUGGUAGUUAUGAAAUUUUUUUUUUUAAAUUGAGUUGGAAGUUUCAACUUUCUCCGUUACAAACUAUUAGAAUUGAAUAUCAUUUUUAAAACUUAAAUUAAUUCAUAUUUUAUUUUUUCUGUUCUUUGGUUAUGUCUAAUGAUCAUAUAUGAAAAAUUGUAUAUAAUUAAAUUAUAUAAUUAUCAUAUAUAAAAUUUAAAAUUUGUUUUAUGAAAAAAAAUUAUUUAUAUUUAUAUCAAAAGACUUUCUAAGAAGUUUUAACAAGAAAAGUCUUCUCUAGUCCUCCAUUUGAGUUGGAAAUUUCCAAGAAAUUUUCCAUAAUGAAGAAGAGAAGGGUAAAGUUAGAGUGAAUCAUUUUCAUAUAAAGUGGAGAAUCCUCAUCACCAUUUCUCUCAUCCCACCUCACCCUCUCAAUUGCUUUUGGGAAGAAUGAUGUCUAAACGCCUCCUCCUCUAUUUUCUUUUCUUCCUCUCAUCCUCUCAGCUUCUUUCCUCCUCUUUCUCUUUCUCUAAUUCCACCAAACUAUGCCCGCAUCAGCAGGCUCUUGCUCUGCUCCACCUUAAGCAAUCCUUUUCUAUUGAUAAUUCCAGUUCUUGGGAUUGUGAUUCCAAUGGCAUCACUUCUUAUCCUAAAACAGAGUCUUGGAAGAAGGGUAGUGAUUGUUGCUCAUGGGAUGGGGUCACAUGUGAUUGGGUGACAGGCCAUAUAAUUGGGCUGGACCUCAGUUGCAGCUGGCUCUUUGGCAUCAUCCAUUCCAAUAGUACCCUCUUCCUCUUUCCUCACCUGCGAAGGCUCAACCUUGCUUCCAAUGACUUCAGUGGGUCCUCUGUUUCAGUUGGGUUUGGUCGCUUCUCAAGCUUGACGCAUCUCAAUCUCUCUGACUCUGGAUUUUCAGGCCUAAUUUCAUCAGAAAUCUCUCACCUCUCCAACUUGGUUUCACUUGAUCUUUCUUGGAAUUCUGAUGCAGAAUUUGCCCCGCAUGGCUUCAAUUCUCUGGUUCAAAAUUUAACCAAAUUGCAGAAGCUUCACCUUAGAGGUAUUUCCAUCUCUUCAGUUUUUCCUGAUUCCUUGCUAAAUCGGUCUUCUUUAAUAUCAUUAGAUCUCUCUUCAUGCGGAUUGCAUGGGAGAUUCCCUGACCAUGACAUUCAUUUUCCGAAACUCGAGGUUCUCGACUUACAAGGAAAUAAUGAUCUCAGUGGAAACUUCCCACGAUUCAGUGAGAACAAUUCCCUCAUGGAAUUGUAUUUAUCAUCCAAAAAUUUCAGUGGAGAGCUUCCUGCUUCAAUUGGAAAUCUAAAGUCUUUGCAGACUUUGUAUAUCUCCAAUUGCGAAUUCUCAGGGUCCAUCCCCGCUUCCCUAGAGAACCUUACACAAAUCACUUCCUUGAACCUCGAUGAGAAUCUUUUUAGUGGUAAAAUUCCAAAUGUUUUUAGUAACCUUAGAAAUUUAAUUUCAUUACACCUUCAUGGCAACAAUUUCAGUGGUCAGCUUCCAUCAUCAAUUGGAAAUCUAACAAACCUUCAGGGCUUAAACUUGUAUGAUAAUCAGCUAGAAGGAGUCAUUCCUUCUUUUGUAAAUGGGUUUUUAAGUCUAUCCUAUGUCGACUUAGGAUAUAACUUAUUCAAUGGGAUAAUACCAUCUUGGUUGUAUGCUCUACCAUCAUUGGUGGUAUUAUAUCUCGAUCAUAACAAACUCACUGGUCAUAUUGGUGAAUUCCAAUCUGAUUCAUUGGAGUUGAUUUGUUUGAAAAUGAAUAAGUUACAUGGGCCAAUUCCAAGUUCAAUAUUUAAGCUUGUAAACCUUAGAUAUCUUCAUCUUUCUUCAAAUAACUUGAGUGGUGUUUUGGAGACAAGCAACUUUGGAAAACUUAGAAACCUCACUUCGCUUGAUCUCUCAAACAACAUGCUCUCAUCGAUCACCUCUAGCAAUUCCAACUCCAUUUUACCCAGCAUUCAAAGGCUAGACUUUUCAAACAAUAACAUUAGUGGAGUAUGGUCAUGGAAUAUGGGAAAGAAUACACUGCAGUACUUGAAUCUCUCUUAUAACUCAAUAAGUGGGUUUGAGAUGCUCCCAUGGGAAAAUUUAUAUACUCUAGAUCUUCAUUCCAACUUGUUGCAAGGACCACUUCCAACUCUUCCAAAUUCUACAUUUUUCUUUUCAGUAUCCCAUAACAAAUUGAGUGGAGAAAUCUCAUCGUUGAUUUGCAAAGCGAGUUCCAUGAGAAUUUUUGAUUUGUCUAAUAACAACUUGAGUGGCGUGCUUCCUCAUUGUUUGGGGAAUUUUAGCAAAGAUCUUUUUGUUUUGAAUUUACGAAGGAAUCAAUUUCAUGGCAUCAUUCCUCAAACAUUUUUAAAGGGCAAUGCUAUCAGGAAUCUUGACUUCAACGAUAAUCAAUUGGAAGGCCCAGUACCUCGAUCUUUGAUCAUUUGUAGAAAACUUGAAGUUCUAGACCUUGGGAAUAAUAAGAUAAAUGAUACAUUUCCCCAUUGGUUGGGAACUCUUCCAGAGUUGCAAGUUCUUGUUUUGCGCUCUAAUAGUUUCCAUGGUCAUAUAGGGCGUUCCAAGAUCAAAUCCCCAUUCAUGAGCCUAAGAAUCAUUGAUCUUGCUCACAAUGAUUUCGAGGGUGAUUUGCCUGAAAUGUAUUUGAGAAGUUUGAAAGCAAUAAUGAAUAUAGAUGAAGGCAACAUGACAAGAAAAUAUAUGGGGGAAGAGUAUUAUCAAGAUUCCAUAGUGGUGACAAUCAAAAGGUUAGAGAUUGAAUUUGUGAAAAUCUUGAAUACUUUCACAACAAUUGAUUUAUCAAGCAAUAAAUUCCAAGGAGAGAUUCCCAAGUCCAUUGGAAAUCUUAAUUCACUUCGAGGGCUCAAUUUGUCUCAUAACAACCUUGCAGGACAUAUCCCAUCAUCUUUUGGGAAUUUGAAGUUGCUUGAAUCAUUAGACCUCUCUUCAAACAAGCUCAUUGGGAGAAUUCCUCAAGAAUUAACGAGUUUGACAUUUCUCGAAGUUUUGAAUCUUUCCCAAAACCAUCUUACUGGAUUUAUACCUCAAGGUAAUCAGUUUGACACUUUUGGAAAUGAUUCAUACAAUGAGAACUCAGGGUUGUGUGGAUUUCCAUUGUCAAAGAAAUGCAUAAUUGAUGAAACACCAGAGUCUUCAAAGGAAACGGAUGCAGAGUUUGAUGGUGGAUUUGAUUGGAAAAUCACAUUGAUGGGAUAUGGAUGUGGAUUGAUAAUUGGGUUAUCUCUUGGGUGUCUCAUUUUCUUAACUGGGAAACCUAAAUGGUUGACAACGAUGGUCGAAGAGAACAUUCACAAGAAGAUCACAAGGUCUAAAAAAGGUACUUGUAGAAGAGGAGCAAGAAGAAAGUAGCAUAUUCCAACCGCAUUGUAUUUUGUGCUACAUAUUAU